rnacentral:rRNA from 1 species
AUUGAACGCUGGCGGCAGGCCUAACACAUGCAAGUCGAACGAGUGGCGGACGGGUGAGUAAUGUCUGGGAAACUGCCUGAUGGAGGGGGAUAACUACUGGAAACGGUAGCUAAUACCGCAUACCCUCGGAUGUGCCCAGAUGGGAUUAGUUAGUGGGUGGGGUAAAGGCUCACCUAGGCGACGAUCCCUAGCUGGUCUGAGAGGAGGACCAGCCACACUGGAACUGAGACAAGGUCCAGACUCCUACGGGAGGCAGAAGUGGGGAAUAUUGCACAAUGGGCGCAAGCCGGAUGCAGCCAGGCCGCGUGGAUGAAGAAGGUCUUCGGGUUGUAAAGUACUUUCAGCGGGGAGGCGGUACCCGCAGAAGAAGCACCGGCUAACUCCGUGCCAGCAGCCGCGGUAAUUC